rnacentral:rRNA from 1 species
UACGGGAGGGUGCAAGCGUUAAUCGGAAUUACAUGGGCGUAAAGCGCGCGUAGGCGGUUUGAUAAGUUCGAUUGUGAAAUCCCCGGGGCUCAACCUGGGAAUUGCAGUCGAGACUGUCAGACUAGGAGUGUGGGAGAGGGUGGUGGAAUUCCGGUGAUGAGCGGUGAAAUGCGUAGAUAUCGGGAGGAACAUCAGUGGCGAAGGCGAACCGCCUGGCCCAACACUGACGCUGAGGUGCGAAAGCGUGGUA